rnacentral:rRNA from 1 species
CCUACGGGUGGCAGCAGUGAGGAAUAUUGGUCAAUGGGCGAGAGCCUGAACCAGCCAAGUCGCGUGAAGGAUGAAGGUUCUAUGCUUUGUAAACUUCUUUUAUAUGGGAAUAAAGUGAGGCACGUGUUCCUUUUUGUAUGUACCUUAUGAAUAAGCAUCGGCUAACUCCGUGCCAGCAGCCGCGGUAAUACGGAGGAUGCGAGCGUUAUCCGGAUUUAUUGGGUUUAAAGGGUGCGUAGGUGGUGAAUUAAGUCAGCGGUGAAAGUUUGUGGCUCAACCAUAGAAGUGCCGUUGAAACUGGUUGUCUUGAGUAUAUGUGAGGUAGGCGGAAUGCGUGGUGUAGCGGUGAAAUGCAUAGAUAUCACGCAGAACUCCGAUUGCGAAGGCAGCUUACUGACCGAGAACUGACGCUGAAGCACGAAAGCGUGGGGAUCGAACAGGAUUAGAUACCCGAGUAGUC